GUUCCAUGUAAACCUGUGGUCUGGGCCCUCUCUUGAGGUUUAGAAAUACAUGUUCAAGUUGUCUCAAGCAGAGGAAGGAACUAAACUGAGGUCUCCAGUACGCAGGAGACCAGGAGACAUCCUCAGGUUUCCAACAAAUGCAUGACACUUAGCUUGGUGGAGUUGACUCUUGACUGGUAACAGCUAAAGACUCUACAAUACGAGAUAGUGAACCUCUUACUGGGUUCAAGGCAUUGAGAAAACAAGAGAGAUCUACAUGAAAGUCAGCCAGGACGGCCUCAAUAAACCUGGAUUUGAGUUCUGAUAUUGCUGAUGACCUGUACUAUAGACAUGGUAAUUUUUCACUUCUGAUUUUAU
rnacentral:lncRNA from 12 species